GAACCAUCAACUCCUCCUUCCAAAUAUCGCUAUAAAUCUAUUAUACUCUCUAGUGAAGUUUCUUCCUUAUUUUAAACUUGCUAAUAUCUAAUUCUCCCAAACUCUCACCAAUGUCAUCCACCUCAAAUGCAUGGAUCUUCACCUGCAUUCUUCUCUCCCUCCCCGUGCAUUUCACCAUCUCUGCUGCUGUGCAUCCUAUCCCAAUAAAUGGCACAUGUCAUGAUACUUGUGGCACAAUGCCAGUGAAGUACCCCUUUGGCUCCGGAUUUGGUUGCGGGCACCCCGACUUUUCUAGAUAUGUAAGAUGCAACUCUGACACACUAGAGUUCUCGACUGGAACUGGAAUUUACAAUAUCUCAGAAAUCGAUUACACAACUGGUUCCUUAAUUAUCACAGACCCCUUCAUGUCUACUUGUAGUUCAAUGCAGAACUCAGGAAGCUUUAGCCUGGAUCGAGCUAGUCCGUUCUCUUUAACGGGGGAAAAUAUAUUUGUCUUGCUUGGAUGCUCAACCAAUUCUCCUUUAUUUGAUCCAGCUGAAGAUUUGUGUGCUAUGGGGUCGCGCUCCCGUGUAUGCAGAGGACUAUACUCUUGCAAGGGAGUGACGGGAAUAGGGUUGCCACAGAAUGCGCCACCUUCCACUUGUUGUGUUUACGAGUCACCUAUCCAACUAGCAGGCUACACGUUGGAUCUUCCAAAGCUCCAGUGCUCUUCUUAUACAUCAGUAUACAGUUUCGGGGGGAGUGAGGGGGAUCCAGUGAAAUGGAAAUUUGGGAUUUCUCUGCAAUAUAAUGGUUCAUACUAUUCUAAUUUAUGCAAAGAUUGUGAAUCCAGCGGGGGCUUGUGUGGCUUUGCAGGUUUUGAUCAGUCAUUUGCUUGCAUUUGUAGGAAUGGGAAGAACACCUCCACUAGUUGUUUUGGCCAAGGCUAUACCUGGAGCGGGACACGGGAGUCAAAAAUUCAAACCAAGCUCAGUUUUGGAGCACAAAAAGUCUUCUGUGCUUUGGAUUUUUUUGCUGUGGCGUGCUCGACUCCACCUUUUCCUAUUCCCUGAAAUCAUGGCACCUAGCUAGAGACUGUCAAAUUGGCCAAAGAAAGAAACAAAAGGUCAUCUAAAUGGUAUAUCCGUUCUUCAUUAUUUGAUCGCCUGGAACCCUGAAAAGUUGCUCACACAGAUUUUCUUUUCCUCUCUUAUUUUUGCCUUGUAAAUGUGCUGCUGGAAGAUUAAACGAAUUUCGCUCGUGGGACACUUGCCCCCACAAAAGGAAACGAAUCCCGAAAAGUCAAACAAAUAACUAGCUUAGCCCAUCCUCAAGUAGAUUUCCUGCAUGUUAUCUUGUAACCAUUAAAAGUCGCAUUUUUUUGCUGGACGCGAGAAUCUUGCUCUUGUGGCUGGUACUUUCUAUGUGAAGAUUGGAAAUGAAAGAUCUCCAAGAGGUAGCCUAGAACUCAUCGCUUCUUGGGUCAAAUGCAGCACUCUAUUCUAUAACUGACAGGAAAAAUGUCCUGAUUCUGCAUCUACCUAGCUUACUGCAUGUCUUGAUUGUAUGUUCCAAUUUUGUUUAAAGUUCAAACUUCAAAAUGGACAAUACGUUCUGUAUUACAGCUUACUGUUACCAUUACUAAUAACUGAUGAUGUACAAAAUCUUCAAUUUGCUUACGAAGAAGAUACAUGUGAUUGGAUAAUAGGUUGAUUAUUUAAUUUUUAUAUUUUGAAUUAUUUUCUUUAA